GACACACAUAAACAAUUAAUAUUCUCUCUCUCGCUCUCUUUCUCUCUCACACAAAUAAAAGGUUGUCCUCCUGUCUCUGCUGGCCACUUGACUGAAAUGUGGUAGGACUUCAGCUCCUCGUCUGACACAAAGUCUGGGGCGCGACUCAUCAGGUCAUGACCGCGAAAUGACUUUGGGAAGGCGAUGACAUCACGUAUGCUGGAAGCCCCCACCAUGAUGGAAACCAGCCGGUCCAAACCUUAAAAAAAUAAUAA